rnacentral:rRNA from 1 species
UACAGAGGUCCCGAGCGUUGUUCGGAUUCAUUGGGCGUAAAGGGUGCGUAGGUGGCGCCGUAAGUGGGGUGUGAAAUCCCGCGGCUUAACCCCGGGACUGCAUUCCAUACUGCGGUGCUUGAGGACUGGAGAGGAGACUGGAAUUUACGGUGUAGCAGUGAAAUGCGUAGAGAUCGUAAGGAAGACCAGUGGCGAAGGCGGGUCUCUGGACAGUUCCUGACACUGAGGCACGAAGGCCAGGGGAGCAAACGGG